rnacentral:rRNA from 1 species
CUACGGGAGGCAGCAGUAGGGAAUAUUGGACAAUGGGCGCAAGCCUGAUCCAGCCAUGCCGCGUGCAGGAAGAAGGCGUUAUGCGUUGUAAACUGCUUUUGAUUGGGAAUAAAAAGACCCUGCGGGGUAAAUUGAAUGUACCAAUAGAAUAAGCCACGGCUAACUACGUGCCAGCAGCCGCGGUAAUACGUAGGUGGCGAGCGUUAUCCGGAUUUAUUGGGUUUAAAGGGAGCGUAGGCGGUUUUGUAAGUCAGCGGUGAAAGACGGUCGCUCAACGAUCGCAUUGCCAUUGAUACUGCAAGGCUAGAGUACAGUAGAGGUAGGCGGAAUUUAUGGUGUAGCGGUGAAAUGCAUAGAUACCAUAAAGAACACCGAUUGCGAAGGCAGCUUACUAGACUGUAACUGACGCUGAGGCUCGAAAGUGCGGGUAUCAAACAGGAUUAGAUACCCGUGUAGUCC